AGAGUUUGAUCCUGGCUCAGAAUGAACGCUGGCGGCGUGCCUAACACAUGCAAGUCGUACGAGAAAGGGGCUUCGGCCCUGAGUAGAGUGGCGCACGGGUGAGUAACGCGUGGGUAAUCUACCCUUGGAUUUGGGAUAACUCUGCGAAAGUGGAGCUAAUACCGGAUAGUCUGGCUUUAAAUAAGAAGUCGGUAAAGGAUGCCUCUGCAUAUGCAUUCGUCCGAGGAUGAGCCCGCGUCUCAUUAGCUAGUUGGUAGGGUAAUGGCCUACCAAGGCAACGAUGAGUAGCUGGUCUGAGAGGAUGAUCAGCCACACUGGAACUGAAACACGGUCCAGACUCCUACGGGAGGCAGCAGUGGGGAAUAUUGCGCAAUGGGCGAAAGCCUGACGCAGCAACGCCGUGUGAGGGAUGAAGGCUUUCGGGUCGUAAACCUCUGUCGGAAGGGAAGAACGGGCAUUGGUCUAAUAGGCCUUUGUUUUGACGGUACCUUUAGAGGAAGCACCGGCUAACUCCGUGCCAGCAGCCGCGGUAAUACGGAGGGUGCAAGCGUUAUUCGGAAUUACUGGGCGUAAAGCGCACGUAGGCGGCCUUGUAAGUCAGGGGUGAAAUCCCACGGCUCAACCGUGGAACUGCCUUUGAAACUGCAGGGCUUGAAUCCUGGAGAGGGUGGCGGAAUUCCUGGUGUAGGAGUGAAAUCCGUAGAUAUUGGGAAGAACACCGGUGGCGAAGCGACUUGCUGGGCAGCAACUGACGCUGAGCGCGAAAGCCAGGGGAGCAAACGGGAUUAGAUACCCCGGUAGUCCUGGCCGUAAACGAUGAAUGCUAGGUGUCGGGGACUUGAUCUUCGGUGCCGUAGCUAACGCGUUAAGUAUCCCGCCUGGGGAGUACGGUCGCAAGGCUGAAACUCAAAGAAAUUGACGGGGGCUCGCCAAAGCGGUGGAGUAUGNGGUUUAAAU
rnacentral:rRNA from 1 species